AUGUCACUCAUCUCCACAGCACUUGUGCUACUUGUUCCCCUAGGUCUUUACUUGUACAUGUGGUCUAGUACUCGUAGUAGAUCAAAUGACCCAGCAUCAGUGCUCCCCACAAAAUGGCCAAUAGUAGGCAUGCUCCCUGGUCUCGUGGCCAACAUCUACAACUUCCAUGAGUACAGCUAUGCGCUCCUCGCCGGAUCAGGCCUCAACUUCAAUGGGGACGGCCCGCCUGGGGCCGGGAUGCGGUUCUUCAUUACCUGCGACCCUGCCAACAUCCAGCACAUCUUCACAACCAACUACUCCAACUUCCCCAAGGGCGCCGAAUUCGCCGCCAUAUUCGACAUCAUGGCUGGUGGCUUCUUCACCAUCGAUGGCGAGCUGUGGCGCUUGCGCCGCAUGAAGUUCGUGGGCGUGAUCAGCAGCCCACGGUUUGCUGACCGUGUGGCAGCUCAUUGCCAUGACAAGGUGAAGAACCACCUCCUCCCGUUGCUUGCCCGCAUGGCGAGCACCAGCACUUCAUUUGACAUGCAAGAAGUAAUGGCGAGGUUAAUGUUUGACAUCACCACCAUGACAGUCUUUGGCGUUGACCCUGGCUUCCUGUCCUUGGACAUGCCUCCGAUUGACGCCUCCCUUGCCAUGGACACAGUCAUGGAGGUGGGAUUUCUCCGACACACCAUGCCGGCCUCUUUGUGGAAGACAUUGAGGUGGCUAAAUAUUGGUCCCGAGAGAAGGCUCCACGAAGCGAACAGAGUGCUCCGCAGGUUUGUCGUGGAUACGAUGGAGAGGGGGAAGACCAACGGAGGCCAAUAUGAGGAUGAAGAGAAUUGCCCAAAAGAACUGGCCCUUUAUCUCUCUACAUCAAUGACCCAGACUACGCUGACGAUGACUUGCUCUGUGGGACACUCAUUAGCUUCAUGCUCGCUGGGAGGGACACAAUCGGCACAACUCUGCCAUGGAUAUUCUACAGCCUCGCCCAGAACCCUAAUGUCGUGUCAAUCAUCCGUAAUGAACUCUCACCUAUUGCAGCGCACAAAGUAG
rnacentral:rRNA from 1 species